rnacentral:rRNA from 1 species
AACGAACGCUGGCGGCAUGCCUAACACAUGCAAGUCGAACGGGAUCCUGGCUUCGGCCAGGUGAGAGUGGCGGACGGGUGAGUAACGCGUGGGAACCUGCCCAUUGGUCUGGGAUAACUGCGGGAAACUGCAGCUAAUACCGGAUGUACCCGAGAGGGGAAAGAUUUAUCGCCGAUGGAGGGGCCCGCGUCAGAUUAGGUAGUUGGUGAGGUAACGGCUCACCAAGCCUACGAUCUGUAGCUGGUCUGAGAGGAUGAUCAGCCACACUGGGACUGAGAUACGGCCCAGACUCCUACGGGAGGCAGCAGUGGGGAAUAUUGGACAAUGGGCGAAAGCCUGAUCCAGCCAUGCCGCGUGAAUGAUGAAGGCCUUAGGGUUGUAAAAUUCUUUUGCAGGGGAAGAUAAUGACGGUACCCUGCGAAUAAGCUCCGGCUAACUUCGUGCCAGCAGCCGCGGUAAU